rnacentral:rRNA from 1 species
UACCAGCACCCCGAGUGGUCGGGAAGUUUAUUGGGCCUAAAGCGUCCGUAGCCGGUUCUACAAGUCUUCCGUUAAAUCCAACUGCUUAACAGGUGGGCUGCGGAAGAUACUAUAGAGCUAGGAGGCGGGAGAGGCAAGCGGUACUCGAUGGGUAGGGGUAAAAUCCGUUGAUCCAUUGAAGAACACCAGUGGCGAAGGCGGCCGGCUGGGGGCGCCCUGACGCUGAGGCGCGAGAGCGUGGGGAGCAAACCGG